UAGGGAAUCUUCCACAAUGGACGAAAGUCUGAUGGAGCAACGCCGCGUGUGUGAUAAAGGGUUUCGGCUCGUAAAACACUGUUGUAAGAGAAGAAUGACAUUGAGAGUAACUGUUCAAUGUGUGACGGUAUCUUACCAGAAAGGAACGGCUAAAUACGUGCCAG
rnacentral:rRNA from 1 species